ACAAUGUAGAUUUUGAUACUGGCUCAGGAUGACCGCUAGCUGCAGGCUUAACACAUGCAAGUCGAGGGGUAACGGGGCGUAGCAAUACGCUGCCGACGACCGGCGCACGGGUGCGUAACGCGUAUGCAACCUGCCUCGCACAGGGGGAUAACGGAGAGAAAUUUCCACUAAUAUCCCAUGGUGUUGUCGAAUCGCAUGGUUUGGCAACUAAAGCUUCGGUGGUGCGAGAUGGGCAUGCGUGACAUUAGGUAGUUGGUGAGGCAACGGCUCACCAAGCCGACGAUGUCUAGGGGAGCUGAGAGGCUUAUCCCCCCAUUCAAGCCUUUUAAAAUAUCCAUCAGCUUCUUCAUUUUCAGAUUCAUUUCUUCCUUCCUCUUUCAUAUUUUGGUUAUUAAUCAAAUUAGGUGGAAUAAUAUUUUCAUUUGUAUUAUUAGAAUUAAUAUUAUUU
rnacentral:rRNA from 1 species